CAACUCUUAGCGGUGGAUCACUCGGCUCGUGCGUCGAUGAAGAACGCAGCUAGCUGCGAGAACUAAUGUGAAUU
rnacentral:rRNA from 2 species